rnacentral:rRNA from 1 species
GGGGGAUAUUGCGCAAUGGGGGCAACCCUGACGCAGCAACGCCGCGUGAAGGAUGAAGGUUUUCGGAUUGUAAACUUCUUUUAUUAAGGACGAAACUUGACGGUACUUAAUGAAUAAGCUCCGGCUAACUACGUGCCAGCAGCCGCGGUAAUACGUAGGGAGCAAGCGUUGUCCGGAUUUACUGGGUGUAAAGGGUGCGUAGGCGGCUUUGCAAGUCAGAUGUGAAAUCUAUGGGCUCAACCCAUAAACUGCAUUUGAAACUGUAGAGCUUGAGUGAAGUAGAGGCAGGCGGAAUUCCCCGUGUAGCGGUGAAAUGCGUAGAGAUGGGGAGGAACACCAGUGGCGAAGGCGGCCUGCUGGGCUUUAACUGACGCUGAGGCACGAAAGCGUGGGUAGCAAACAGGAUUAGAUACCCUGGUAGUCCACGCUGUAAACGAUGAUUACUAGGUGUGGGGGGUCUGACCCCUUCCGUGCCGGAGUUAACACAAUAAGUAAUCCACCUGGGGAGUACGGCCGCAAGGUUGAAACUCAAAGGAAUUGACGGGGGCCCGCACAAGCAGUGGAGUAUGUGGUUUAAUUCGAAGCAACGCGAAGAACCUUACCAGGUCUUGACAUCCAACUAACGAAGUAGAGAUACAUUAGGUGCCCUUCGGGGAAAGUUGAGACAGGUGGUGCAUGGUUGUCGUCAGCUCGUGUCGUGAGAUGUUGGGUUAAGUCCCGCAACGAGCGCAGCCCUUGCUAUUAGUUGCUACGCAAGAGCACUCUAAUAGGACUGCCGUUGACAAAACGGAGGAAGGUGGGGACGACGUCAAAUCAUCAUGCCCCUUAUGACCUGGGCUACACACGUACUACAAUGGAUGUUAACAGAGGGAAGCAAGACAGCGAUGUGGAGCAAACCCCUAAAAACAUUCUCAGUUCAGAUUGCAGGCUGCAACCCGCCUGCAUGAAGAUGGAAUUGCUAGUAAUCGCGGAUCAGCAUGCCGCGGUGAAUACGUUCCCG